ACUCAGACAUUUGGAGUGCUAUCAUCAACUUCAUCUCCCACAACCCAUGAGAUUUGAGUUAAAUAACAACAUUACAUUU